rnacentral:rRNA from 1 species
UAGGGAAUCUUCCGCAAUGGGCGAAAGCCUGACGGAGCAACGCCGCGUGAGUGAUGAAGGUCUUCGGAUCGUAAAACUCUGUUAUUAGGGAAGAACAAAUGUGUAAGUAACUAUGCACGUCUUGACGGUACCUAAUCAGAAAGCCACGGCUAACUACGUGCCAGCAGCCGCGGUAAUACGUAGGUGGCAAGCGUUAUCCGCAAUUAUUGGGCGUAAAGCGCGCGUAGGCGGUUUUUUAAGUCUGAUGUGAAAGCCCACGGCUCAACCGUGGAGGGUCAUUGGAAACUGGAAAACUUGAGUGCAGAAGAGGAAAGUGGAAUUCCAUGUGUAGCGGUGAAAUGCGCAGAGAUAUGGAGGAACACCAGUGGCGAAGGCGACUUUCUGGUCUGUAACUGACGCUGAUGUGCGAAAGCGUGGGGAUCAAACAGG